UACGUAGGGUGCGAGCGUUAAUCGGAAUUACUGGGCGUAAAGCGUGCGCAGGCGGUUCGCUAAGACAGGUGUGAAAUCCCCGGGCUUAACCUGGGAAUGGCGCUUGUGACUGGCGGGCUGGAGUACGGCAGAGGGAGGUGGAAUUCCACGUGUAGCAGUGAAAUGCGUAGAGAUGUGGAGGAACACCGAUGGCGAAGGCAGCCUCCUGGGCCAGUACUGACGCUCAUGCACGAAAGCGUGGGGAGCAAACAGGAUUAGAUACCCUGGUAGUCCACGCCCUAAACGAUGCGAACUAGUCGUUGGAGGAGCAAUCCUUUAGUGACGCAGCUAACGCGUGAAGUUCGCCGCCUGGGGAGUACGGUCGCAAGAUUAAA
rnacentral:rRNA from 1 species